rnacentral:rRNA from 1 species
AGUGAACGCUGGCGGUAGGCCUAACACAUGCAAGUCGAACGGCAGCACAGUAAGAGCUUGCUCUUAUGGGUGGCGAGUGGCGGACGGGUGAGGAAUACAUCGGAAUCUACUUUUUCGUGGGGGAUAACGUAGGGAAACGUACGCUAAUACCGCAUAUGACCUACGGGUGAAAGCAGGGGAUCUUCGGACCUUGCGCGAUUGAAUGAGCCGAUGUCGGAUUAGCUAGUUGGCGGGGUAAAGGCCCACCAAGGCGACGAUCCGUAGCUGGUCUGAGAGGAUGGUAAGCCACACUGGAACUGAGACACGGUCCAGACUACUACGGGAGGCAGCAGUGGAGAAUAUUGGACAAUGGGCGGGAGCCUGAUCCAGCCAUGCCGCGUGGGUGGAGAAGGCCUUCGGGUUUUAAAGCCAUUUUGUUGGGAAAGAAGAGCAGCAGGUUAAUACCCCGCUGUUCUGACGGUACCCAAAGAAUAAGCACCGGCUAACUUCGUG